rnacentral:rRNA from 1 species
GACGAACGCUGGCGGCGUGCUUAACACAUGCAAGUCGAACGGAAAGGCCCUGCUUUUGCGGGGUGCUCGAGUGGCGAACGGGUGAGUAACACGUGAGUAACCUGCCCUUGACUUUGGGAUAACUUCAGGAAACUGGGGCUAAUACCGGAUAGGAGCUCCUGCUGCAUGGUGGGGGUUGGAAAGUUUCGGCGGUUGGGGAUGGACUCACGGCUUAUCAGCUUGUUGGUGGGGUAGUGGCUUACCAAGGCUUUGACGGGUAGCCGGCCUGAGAGGGUGACCGGCCACAUUGGGACUGAGAUACGGCCCAGACUCCUACGGGAGGCAGCAGUGGGGAAUAUUGCACAAUGGGCGGAAGCCUGAUGCAGCAACGCCGCGUGCGGGAUGACGGCCUUCGGGUUGUAAACCGCUUUCGCCUGUGACGAAGCGUGAGUGACGGUAAUGGGUAAAGAAGCACCGGCUAACUACGUG